UACGUAGGGGGCAAGCGUUGUCCGGAAUCAUUGGGCGUAAAGCGCGUGUAGGCGGUCCGGUAAGUCCGCUGUGAAAGUCGGGGGCUCAACCCUCGGAUGCCGGUGGAUACUGUCGGGCUUGAGUACGGAAGAGGCGAGUGGAAUUCCUGGUGUAGCGGUGAAAUGCGUAGAUAUCUGGAGGAACACCGGUGGCGAAGGCGGCAUCCUGGACCAACACUGACACUGAGGAGCGAAAGCCAGGGGAGCAAACGGG
rnacentral:rRNA from 1 species